GUCUGAGAGGAUGAUCAGCCAGACUGGAACUGAGACACGGUCCAGACUCCUACGGGAGGCAGCAGUGAGGAAUCUUCCACAAUGGGCGAAAGCCUGAUGGAGCAACGCCGCGUGAAGGAUGAAGGCCUUCGGGUUGUAAACUUCUUUUAUGAGUGAAGAAUAUGACGGUAACUCAUGAAUAAGCACCGGCUAACUACGUGCCAGCAGCCGCGGUCAUACGUAGGGUGCAAGCAUUAUCCGGAGUGACUGGGCGUAAAGAGUUGCGUAGGCGGUUUAAUAAGUGAAUAGUGAAACCUGGUGGCUCAACCAUACAGACUAUUAUUCAAACUGUUAAACUCGAGAGUAGUAGAGGUAACUGGAAUUUCUAGUGUAGGAGUGAAAUCCGUAGAUAUUAGAAGGAACACCGAUGGCGUAGGCAGGUUACUGGGCCAUUUCUGACGCUAAGGCACGAAAGCGUGGGGAGCGAACCGGAUUAGAUACCCGGGUAGUCCACGCCGUAAACGAUGGAUACUAGCUGUUGGAGGUAUCGACCCCUUCAGUAGCGAAGCUAACGCGUUAAGUAUCCCGCCUGUGGAGUACGGCCGCAAGGCUAAAACAUAAAGGAAUUGACGGGGACCCGCACAAGCGGUGGAUUAUGUUCUUUAAUUCGAUGAUAACCGAAGAACCUUACCAGGGCUUGACAUCCAGGGAAGGUCUGCGAAAGUAGACUGUGCCUUUUGGAACCCUGUGACAGGUGAUGCAUGGCCGUCGUCAGCUCGUGUCGUGAGAUGUUAGGUUAAGUCCUUCAACGAGCGCAACCCUUGUGAAUAGUUGUAUUUUUCUAUUCAGACUGCCCCGGUAACGGGGAGGAAGGAGGGGAUGAUGUCAGGUCAGUAUUUCCCUUACGUCCUGGGCUAGAAACGUGAUACAAUGGCUAGUACAAUGCGCAGCGAAGCCGCGAGGUGAAGCAAAUCGCAUCAAAGCUAGUCCCAGUUCGGAUUGUAGGCUGAAACUCGCCUGCAUGAAGUCGGAAUCGCUAGUAAUCGCAAAUCAGCAAGUUGCGGUGAAUACGUUCCCGGGUCUUGUACACACCGCCCGUCAAACCAUGAAAGUCACUAACACCCGAAGUCCGAUUCGUCGGCCUAAGGUGGGAGGGAUGAUUGGGGUUAAGUCGUAACAAGGUAUCCGUAUCGGAAGGUGCGGAUG
rnacentral:rRNA from 1 species